GGCUUGAUGGUCUAGUAGUAUGAUUCCUGCUUCGGGCUUCACAACCCUCCUCCCCCUUUGUCGGAGGAAUGCACUGCAGGAGGUCCCGGGUUCAAUUCCCGGUCAAGCCC